UUCACCUGGAUUCCAUGUGGCUCACAUGCUUUCUCAGUAUGAUACCAUACAGCCCUCCAGCUGGUUUUCCAAGCACCCUUCCCAGUGAGGCCUUCAUAUAACUGCUAAAAUGGUCUUUAAAAAGUAAUAAAGUAUGAACCCAGCCCUUCAAAACACAAGGCUCUGAGAUAAGCUACAGGUGAACCGUACAACAAGACUGUAUCUCAAAAAUGUAGGAAAUUUCAGGUUCCUGGAGAAGUCUCUUGUGAAAGUGGUGGCCUCCUACUCUACGUGUUCUGGACCUCCCCUGAAUUUCCAUCGUCUCCAGGACACCCGUGGCAUUUGACUGCACCCUCCCGGGGGUUCGGCCACGCUGCUUGUGUGGGAUGGACUCCACUUCCGUCUGUAGGGCCAGGUCCCUGAUUGAUGGAGGCCUAAGCCAAUGGAUCGCUCUAUCCCAGCCCCCAGAAACAGGCACAUCAUCUAAUUUAAACCAAUGGGACCCCAGGAAACCUUGCAGGGGCUUCAGGGGAAGGAGGUGUUCCCUCUGCCUAUGGGCUUACGGUAAGGAGGAUGCAAGGGAGAUGGGAUUGUGCAGCCAGCUAGCUACCGUGAGAGGAGCCAGCCUGGUGAUGAAGUCCCCAGGCGGCCGAGGUCCCUGGGUCCUAGCGUUGCAGGUAGACCUCGAGUCAGGCUGUGCCUGGAAGAAGGGGUCACCAACCGGGGAGUAGAGGCGGCCUGUGGAAGCUGGAGAAGACAAGGACAUGGAUUCUCCCCUGGAGCCUCCAGAGAAGGCGGCCUGAUGAUACCAGGACUUUUCGGUGCAGUUGAACCAUAGUAACCUCCAUCUUGUAUAUAAAAACUGCUGUUUGAAAUUCUCUGCUAUUAUUAGGUAGUCCCUUGUUCUAUAAACUCUGUCAUUUUUAGAUAGUCUCUUAGUCUGUAGAAUAACUGUUUUAGUUUGAAUAAUAGAAAAAGAUAAAAACUUAAACUGUCUGACCUUCCAAGCUAGCCAUCUAACGUAAUGGACUAAUACUGAUAAUAAUUCCCAUGUUCUUAUGCCAAAUGUUUGUUCUUUAUGUAUCCAAGAUGACAAACUGUAACAACAACUCACACAGAGCCCUUCGUAAAACCUGCAGACAAAGGGCCCGAGAGCUAUAAAUACGGGAAACUUCCUCUGUGUCUUCGCUCAGAGAUUUGAAAGAAGCACCUCGCUCUGUGCCGCGCACAAUAAACGACUCCUAAUUAAUUGGCUCAUUAA